rnacentral:tRNA from 1 species
GCAGUGGUGGUUCAGUGGUAGAAUUCUUGCCUUCCAUGCAGGAGACCCAGGUUCAAUUCCUGGCCAAUACA